CAAUUAUUAUGUUUUUCACAUUGCCUUCAAAUGGUUAAUCAGCACACUCCAUUGUCGUUGCCCUCACACUUACAGCGAGAGCCCUUUCACUCGUACUUUUCACUCGCACUUUUCCAUAAUUUUUGCCGACGAGACCGCCUUAUAUAGUUGCUUUAUGACCAUGAAGAAACUACAGUUUCUUCAUGUUCAUGCUCCUACCGGCACUGUUGCGUCGGCGCACGGCAAAAGCACGAGGGAGAGGCCACCAUCAGCACCGAAAACGAGUGAGCACAUCGCCUGGGUAAAGAUUAAAAGAACGUGUUAUUGGGCCCUAGUCAACACACUUGAAAAAAGCAAUUGAAGGUGGGUAAUUUAAGGAGGGAAAUAAAACUUCUAAACGAAUGAAGGCAAGCACACCAAUUUUUUCGUGUAUUAAUAACUGUGUUCUUAGCAAACAGGCAAUGAAAAAAAAAGAAAUGAAAAGCUUUAACAGAUCGAAAAAAUGGCAAGCCAAAACAACUCUCAUGUACUAAUUUGUUCACUUUUCGUUUUUUUAUUUGUCUAAGUUUUC
rnacentral:lncRNA from 1 species